CUGUCACCCCCAAGAGCAGUGCAUGCGCUCUGGAAGCAAACGGUGUUUAUUCAGGAAGAGAGCAUCUCGGUGGGAACACCCCGGCCACGGAAAGCUCCGUGCAGAUUCAGGGAGAAUUUUAUCAGUCAGUGAAAGAGAAUCACCCACGGCUAUGAAUGCUCACGCGUGAAAACCGAGUAACUGCCUCGAUCCUCAGUUCCUGCACACAAGGCUCCCCAUCAUACGGUAAGAAAAUGAGGAUUUAAGCCGAUGACUAGCCCGAAGUAGUUAAGCCAUGUUUUCCUUCAGUAAAAUGGACCAAAACUAACAUUUAGUGAGCACUCAGUACAUGGCAAGCAGUCACUGUUACACACUUUCUCUACGGAGUCCCCCUUCACCUUUACAUGCCCCUCUGAGCUUGGCACUGUUAGGAGGACAAAAGGACAAACUAGAGGGUGGGAGAAAAUAUAUGCAAAUCACAUACUGAUGAAAGACUUGUAUCUAGAGCAUAUAACGAACUCUCAACUCAGCAGGAAGAAAACAAACCAUUUGGGGAAACUGUGGGCAAAAGAUUUGGGCAGAUAAUUCUCCAAAGAAUAUACACAGACCGAAAAAAAGCACAUGAAAAGAUGUUCAUCGUUAUUAUUUAUCAGCGGAAUACACAUUAAAACCACAGUAAGAUGCCACUUCCAACCAAAACAAUGUCUAAACUUAAAACCCGUGACCGUAUCAAGUGCUAAUGAAAAUGUG
rnacentral:lncRNA from 1 species